rnacentral:rRNA from 1 species
UACGUAGGCAGCGAGCGUUGUUCGGAGUUACUGGGCGUAAAGAGUGCGUAGGCGGUGCCCUAAGUCUGGUGUGAAAUCUCCCGGCUCAACCGGGAGGGUGCGCCGGAAACUGGGGUGCUCGAGUGUGGGAGAGGCAGGCGGAAUUCCCGGUGUAGCGGUGAAAUGCGUAGAGAUCAGGAAGAACACCAGUGGCGAAGGCGCUCUGCUAGGCCGUAACUGACACUGAGGGACGAAAGCUAGGGGAGCGAAUGGG